rnacentral:rRNA from 1 species
CGGUGGAGCAUGUGGUUUAAUUCGAAGCAACGCGAAGAACCUUACCAGGUCUUGACAUCCCGAUGCUAUUUCUAGAGAUAGAAAGUUACUUCGGUACAUCGGUGACAGGUGGUGCAUGGUUGUCGUCAGCUCGUGUCGUGAGAUGUUGGGUUAAGUCCCGCAACGAGCGCAACCCUCGACCUUAGUUGCCAGCAUUCAGUUGGGCACUCUAAGGUGACUGCCGGCUAAAAGUCGGAGGAAGGUGGGGAUGACGUCAAAUCAUCAUGCCCCUUAUGACCUGGGCUACACACGUGCUACAAUGGGCGGUACAAAGGGUCGCGAACCCGCGAGGGGGAGCCAAUCCCAAAAAGCCGCUCUCAGUUCGGAUUGCAGGCUGCAACUCGCCUGCAUGAAGCCGGAAUCGCUAGUAAUCGCGGAUCAGCAUGCCGCGGUGAAUACGUUCCCGGGCCUU